GGGGUUAAGUGAUGUUGGAAUGAAUGCAGUGAAGAAGUAAAAGGAGCUAUUAGGUUGUCGGGGUUAAGUGAUGUUGGAAUGAAUGCAGUGAAGAAGUAAAAGGAGCUAUUAGGUUGUCGGGGUUAAGUGAUGUUGGAAUGAAUGCAGUGAAGAAGUAAAAGGAGCUAUUAGGUUGUCGGGGUUAAGUGAUGUUGGAAUGAAUGCAGUGAAGAAGUAAAAGGAGCUAUUAGGUUGUCGGGG